CCUUUCAGUGAGGGAUACCGGCGAGAAAUCGCCGACAAGCCCGCAUAGGCUGCUGGUCAGCAAGGACCAGUUGCAAAGGCUAACUCGCAAGAGGGAGUCGCUGAGAGAUGGGCCCGCGGCCGAUUAGCUAGUUGGUGGGGUAAAAGCCUACCAAGGCGACGAUCGGUAGCUGGUCUGAGAGGACGAUCAGCCACACUGGGAUUGAGAACGGCCCAG
rnacentral:rRNA from 1 species